UUUAAGAAAAAAAAAAAAAAAGUCUUUUCGGCUUCUUACCCCCCUUCCCUGGCCAGCGGGUCUCCCGCCGAGCCGCGGGGGAGGAGGAGGGGGCUCCCUUCCCCAUCUCUAACCGUGCGCGCCUUCCCUUCCCAGGCAGGGAAACUUGUGCUGGCGGGCGGCCUCGGCGCCGGUACCGGCGGAGGACUAGAGCCUCCGGAAGCAAAGUUCUGUGACACUCCGACUCUGGGUACGAUAGCAGUCAGUGCACUACAGAACUUUGUCUCCGGCGGCGGCGGCGGCCCCGGCGCCUCAGGUGGACACGUCACUGCGGGGAUGGCGAGCCCGGGCGCUGCCGAGCGCUGGAACCUGCGCUGCAGCCUCGGAAUAAAGUCUGUGCUGUCGUGGCCUCCCGCUCUGAAGUUUUGUUGGGGUGUCUUUUUUUUUUUUUUUAUUUUCCACGGUAAAUAUAGCGCAACAUCUGGGUACCGAGGGUUAUUUCAGUGCAGUCAGGGCGGCCUGGCUGUCGGCAUAAAUGUGAAACUAACUGGUGCUUGGUGUAGCUGAGUCGCUGGUGGGUACGUAAAUGUGCUUGACGCUGCGCCUAACUCUGCAUUGUUUUAAGUGUGUAACACAAUAUAGUAGCCUACCUAGGGACGGGAAUGUGGUAAGACUUCAUACUCCUAGCAAAAAUCUGAGCCAUAGAGCCCUGAUGUAACACAAUGCAGUCAGUGUGCUUAUUCAGUGUUUAGGCCUUGCCUUGUGGCACUGGGCUGUUUUCCUCUUUAGGAACCUCAGACUUCCAACUUUAGUUGAAUAGUGGCUACAACUUCAAGCCUCUGCAUAUUCAAAGAUCACAAAGUUUGUUGUGAGUGGGUACUGCAAGGCUUCAUCCUCACUGCUGCGGUUAGGAGGCUUUGGAAGGAUAAAUGGCACCUGUAUUUAUUAGUGCAGUUGCAAGGCUUUAUAAUGUAACCUUGUCUGACACCUGCACAAUACUUAACAUGGGACAGUGCUUAAGGGCUGAGAAAGAAAGGGCCAAACGCAACUUUUUUCAGUUUAAGUUAACAUCUGGCAGAAUUACAGGAGCUGGCCUGCCCUUCUUAAGAAAUUUUGCAGAGUUUCUUGAUGUAUAAACUAAGCUGUGGAGUUCUUGUGAGGUGAAUAUAAUCAGCUGAUCAUCUUUCAUCAUAAUGAGAGUAAUAUGAAAAAACAUAUUGCUAGAGGAUCAGAUGGAGUAAGGUAUGGCAAUUUUUUUUAAAUUGAAAACCAGUAUGUGCUAUAGAGUAUGUUAGCAAGGAAGUCUUUACAACAGCUGCAUUGUAUGGCAGAUAUGCUGCUUUUAUAUUUAUAUAUAUAUAUAUAUAUAUACGUAUACAUAUGUGUGUGUAUGCAUAUAUAUUAGAGGUCUCAUAUUCUGUUAGCUUUUUGUAGCUAAUGAUCCCCUUUGAGCUCACUAGAAACCUAAAUGAACUUUUCCUUUCUGCCAGACUGAAUGUGGAAGGUACAGCAAGAUUAUACGGUUCAUGGAACUGGGCUGGAAACUGAAAUGCUAUUCUAAGUACAUGUUUUUUAGCUCAAACCGUUUAAUCAAAGGGUAGGUAAAGUGAGGAGCACUUACUGUAUGGCAGCCCAUGUGACCAGCUAGGGCUAUAUUUGGAUGCUGGAGGUUUAAGGAAUCCUUUUUGCUAACCAUUUUUGGCCAAUUGCCUGCAGCUUUAUGUUGUGCAGUGUGACGUCUGCUAAAAAGGACUUGGAGGUCUGGUGUCUGCAAACUGUUUAAUCAGUGCAGUUAUAGGGAAACACCUUGUACUGUCAGGGCUAAACUCCCACUGUAUUUAAUUUAGGGGUGGUUCCUGCCUAGCAGGAUAUGUAAUGCAAAUUGCAGUUUCCAAUUUUUGUACUAAAUAGCCUUUUGGAGUGUGUGUGUUGGGGUGCAGUAGAACUUAAAAAGGCUUUUAGACACUCAGAUUUGAUGGUUAAAACUCUACAGUUCUGGAAGCAAACAGACUGGAGUGUAUGCUUAUACUUUCUGGGUAAGUGUAACAUGUUUGUAACAUCUUAGCUUGUUGCAGUAUAAAUUCAGCCCAGACUAGGGGGACACAAUACUGAAGUCACUUGCUGUGUAUUGGGUGUAAUGGCAGAUGGCAAACCUGAAUCCGGCUGUGGUGGGAAUGAAGAGUUCAUCUGCCUUCUCUUUAAAACGUUACAGCUGGAACUGAUACUCUGCCUGCUUUAGUUUCCUGGUAGUCAGACUGACCAGUUGUAAAGGCAAGGCGAGUGAAUAUUGCUCGACCUCUUGGUAGCCCACGCUUGUACUUGCCACACGUCUGCAGCAUGUUGUACCUCCUGUCCUACAAGUAAUACUUGAAUAGUGACCUUUUGGUGACACUUCUGCUUUGGUGCAGGAAAUCAUGUGGACUUCAGAUAAGAGUAAAAAAGAUCUUAACACUUCCGAUUUAGUGCUUUAUUCUUGCACUGAAGUGUAUGGGAUCUGAUAGUACCCUGGUAUUUCAACUUUCUCAUUUCUUUGCAGUGUAAGACUUAUGAGGCAAGCUUGAAGUGUGCUUGGGGCCUUGAAUGGGAGAUAAAGUUUUGGUUAACCUAUUAACAGUAGUUUUUGAUUAAGGUGACGCAGGAAUUGGAAACAGAAAAAGAACUGGUCAUGCUAUUUAAUAUAGAGUCUGAAUGCCAAACUAUAAAUGCAUUUAUACACGUUAUUUUCCAAUGACUCAUUGGCAUUGUCUGCUUCCCUUCCAGUGCAUCAGUGGAGAUGUACUCUAAACUGCUGCUUUAUUUUUUAGUGCUUUUUGACACUUCAGAGUGUCUAUUCCAAUUACAGUCCUUUCCUCAUUGGAAAAGUGGCAAAUGAGCAUGCUGAGUAAAUUACAAGAAUUUCCAAAAUAGUACAAGUCUGUUAUUUGAAGGGGCAGAGGCAGAGGAAAUUAUACCAACCUAUUUUUUUGUUCUGCAAACUGGGGAAGAGUAAAGGAGUUUGCUGUAAAGUACUCUGAAGAUUGAAGCUGAAGGGAUCUGAGCAUGGCCCAGACUCCCUGCUUGUAUUGAUUUAGUUGUAUGUACAUGCUUGGAAUCUGGACAGAGGUGCUGAAGUUUUCAUUCAGUAUUUUAAAAGAGUUAUUUUGGAAUUUUAAAAUAUAAAUGGUGUUAUCCCAUGCCUUUUUGUUUCUUUUGGGUUGGGAUCUCCUUAAUUGCCAAGAUCUAGGUAUAUCUGGCCCUGCUGGGAGUGAUGAUGGGCCAGUGUGUAAGUUAAAGUGUUGGUGCUUUUUAUUUUUUAUUUUUUCUUGGUGCUGGGAGAAUAACUAGGAGCACAGGGAAUAUAGACUAAAGGCAAACUGCACAGCCUGUAGCUGGUUAGUCUCAGAAUGCCGCUGGACCUGAUAGAGCUGAGGAAUGUGCUUACUUUAGCUUCCAGAGAUUGGAUUUUGAACUGAAGUUUUAAGCAAAAAAUAUAACUCUUUUACCAAAAAAUGCUCUUAAAAAAGAUGACAAGGACAAGCCUUUCAUGUGUGUUUUCAUGGAACUGACUUGCUCUGUUUAACUAGAAACAGAGGUAGACUUACUGACUUCUAGCAACUGUGUGACAAACAAUUUAUAAAUAGACCGUAGAGUCCCAGGAAAUACAAAUAAAGUAUUGGAAGUCAUGAGCUGACUACCAAAACCCCUGGAAUAUUUAUUUUUGUCUGCUGCUUGGGCAGUUAUAUUCAGGAGACUUCUCUGGAACCACAUAAAGUGCCCUGAAAGCCCACCCAGAGCAGCAGCUUUGGAGACUUGUUUUGCUUCUGGUGGUAGUGAUGGUCUUUUCCCAAAAUCCUAGGGCAGCAGGAUAGAAAUGUUUUGCAGGAUAUCCAAGUUACCAACACACAAGAAGUAGAGUUGCAGUAUUUGAGGUGAGUUAAUGACACUGUGCAGUGUAGCUGGAGCCAGAAGAGGCGAACCUGGUCCUGGUACAAACAGGACACUGAGCUAUUAGUAAGUGGAUUUGUAGGAUUGGAAAUGAACUGCUAAGCAAUCCUGAAUUUAUUUUCUGUUUUAUUUUGGGAGGGAAGUAAAAAUUACAAAAUCUUGACAAAUGCCAUUCAAAUAAGGCUAUUUUCUUGCGUUGUGUAGCAGACAAGGUAGGAACUCAGCCAGGUGCCCAUUGUGCUUACUGUACUCUGCAAAUAAUCUCUGCUGUAACCGGGAUUUAUUUUUUGGAAUACUGAUGCUAAUACUAUUGAAGAUAGCUUAGAGCAGUUGAGUCUCUAUUUAAGAUAUUAGAGGUGGUGUGCUGAAAACUCAUCCUAAUUAGCUGCAGAAUGAGGGAGCUGAAACUUGGCUUCAUAUAGCCAACAUAAAAGUAAUUACUUGCUAAAUUAUAUAUAUGUAUAUAUUAGCUUUCUGAAAUGAGCAUACAGAAUCCUGAGCCUUAUCAAAAAACAGCGUUAGACUAUUGGUGAAUGAUUGCCACUUUAUUCUGAGUUAGGUUGAGCUGCCUUUUUGUGCAAUGACAGUUUUUAUCCUGUCUGGUGGCUCUUACCUUGCAAGUUUUGGAAACCACAUUCUUGCACCAACACUUGAUCUCUUGCAGAGUUCCUAUGAAUGUUCUUCAACUGUAGUAAAAGGAUUAAUUUCUCUUUUUAUUAAAAGUAAGUCUCAAUGCUGAAUAUUGACCGACUUGCACAGUAAAAUAUUAAAUAUGUUUUCUAGUAACUUGCGGUAGCACUAGUUGUGAAAAUAUCAUUGGUAGUAUGGGAGACUGAAACCAGUGGCAGUAGCACAUUUCACUUGGGCAAGUAGUCCCGCUGAGGCAAGCAGAAGCUAUCUAAUACUCUGCAUUUCGGCAGCUGGGUGACUUGAAUGUGUCUAAAUUUAUAUAUAUAGUCAAGUAAGUUCAAUUGCAGUGAGUUCUAUCACUUGCUGUAGUGACUCCCAGCUCCCAUUAGCACAUCCCCACGCUGUGGCUGACUAUAACAGUUUCUUCAGGUGCUGCUUCCUUGCAAGAGGCAGAGAAAGGAUGGUCUUUGUUUGUGGAAAUGUACAGCAAUCAGCUGUCAUCCUUUAGUGUCUGCAAACUGAAGCAUGGGAGGCUCUGUCUGAAUAAUAGGAAGCACUUCUUCACUGUGGUGGUGACCGAGCACUUACACAGGUUGCACGGGGAGGUUAUAAAGUCUCCAUACUUGAAGAUACCUAAAAGUUGUCUGAAUAGAAUCAUGAGCAGCCUGCUCUAGGUGGCCCUUCUUGAGCAUGGGGUUGGACCAGAUGACCUCUGGAGUUCAUUUCCAACCUCAAUCAUUGUGUGAUUCUGUAAUUAUUUUCCUCAUUUUAUACACAGUAAACUAUUUUGCUUCUGUCUUUUUCCUAUUCCACAGUUUCUUCCAUUGCUACUUAUUGUCACAUGUCCUUACAUUAAUAAAGCGGAGGGGGGGGAGAAGGGUUACAGGUCAAUGUUCAUCUGAAUAAAUGUAAUGUAAAGCAUAUAGUGAUCACCUUUGACACUGGAGUUGAGGCUUAAAGGUUUAAAAAAAAAAGAAUCCCAUCAGAAGUAUGUUCUUGAUUUAACCUUCAUAAGUAGUAAAGUACAGGAUUAAAUAUGUGUUUAAUGCAGAGGAUUUAUCACUUUCCUGGUGACUCUUAAUUGCUUACAAGUACUGGGUUUUGCUCUUCAGUUAUGGCUGGGCUGAGGUAGCAACUGAAGCUCAAAGAUUUCUUUUGCAUAAGGCUUUCCCCGUGCUGUGAUGUCAAUAGACUGAUGAAAUAUUCCUAAUGUGAUUGCAACUUUUAACCAAACUGCAGCAGUACCAGUGAGACUUGCUCCUUGCCCCUUCACCAGGGAAAAGGAGCUGUUCUGAGGUGGGGGAAGUCAUGGAAGGGCAUGACAAACCACGCUUGCAUACAGAGGGAAGGACCUUGCCAGGGCAGAAAUGGGGAUGAGGUGAGGAUUAGCUGCAGUUGAAGAUGAAAGGAGCUGCCAAGUAGUGUCAGAUAGGUACGAAGGCUUCAAAUAAUAAGGAAUAUCUGCUUGACUGCACUGACUCCUCUUCAAGGUUGCUUGUGUUUAGUCUUCAGGGAGUUGCAUCACUGCAUCCCCCACACAGCCAUUAAGGCAAGAAGCUGAUAGUGUAGAGCAAGCCUUGAAGAAAAGGUACAUUUCACACUAGUUCUUAAACUCUUGUAGUCCUCGCCUUGAAGAGUAAAUAUGCUGGGGAGUGUUUGCUUUGCUGCUGCUUUGUAACAUACUGCACUCUGCUGCAGGUAUGGCUUGAGGGACCAGGAGGAAGAAGGAGAUACAGAUACAUCUGGAAAGAGAAGCAAAAAGUGGGAGAGAACAGAGUGGAGGGUGGAAGAGUCUGUAGAAGUUGCCAAAUGAGCAAGAUUUAGAUUCUGCUGUGAAGUUUGUUGUCCAGGUGACCGUGACUUGUCAAAUCCAAAAUGGAACUGAAAAGCAUGGAAUAAUUCGUGGAGGCAAAGCUCAGUGGUAAAGAAGAGCUGCUCUCUGGAUCACUCCUGGAAGAGGAAACAGGCUCAAGUCUGCAGGAGGGUGCUUCUCUUAUAAAAGUUUUUUUCAAAAGUAUUUUAAAAUAACCUCUUCAACUUAUACUCAGUUGUGGGUUUAUGUACUGGCUGGUUUGUUGAAAUAUUAAUCUUGUAGUUUCAUUAAGCACAAUGCAUUCCAUGUGGGUUUGAUUAAGAAGCAAGAAUAAAAAUACAAUGAAAAUUGAA